rnacentral:rRNA from 1 species
UACGUAGGUGGCAAGCGUUGUCCGGAUUUACUGGGCGUAAAGAGCGCGCAGGCGGUCGUUCAAGUCGCGUGUGAAAGCCCCCGGCUCAACUGGGGAGGGUCACGCGAUACUGAUCGACUCGAAGGCAGGAGAGGGUAGUGGAAUUCCCGGUGUAGUGGUGAAAUGCGCAGAUAUCAGGAGGAACACCAAUGGCGAAGGCAGCACUCUGGGACGUGACUGACGCUGAGACGCGAAAGCGUGGGGAGCAAACAGG